UCAAAAACCCUUUAACUUUAAAUUAGAAAAAUAUUUAAAUCUGUGUCGGCGUGGUGUUGCUUUACUAUUUGCUGCUAUUUGUAAUUUUUUUCGUUUUUAGCAAAAAUACAACAGUUAUUAGUGAGUCUUGUGUUUAGAGAUAUAUUCUAUUUACUUUUGUGACUCCCAAGGACGUUAGUGACUGAAAAUUUAACUACCUAUUUGAAUAUAUAGUAUGUAAUAAGAAUUAUCUGGAAGGAUACGCUUUUUCGCAUUUAUUCUGUAACAUUUGUAUCUAUUUAAUUAUGGAGACUUAUAAUGAAGAACCUCAAAUGGAGGCAUAUAUUGAAGCACCUCAAAUGAAUUAUGCUACAUACAAUUUUGAGAACACUGCCUUGGAACUUGCACGGGCUCAAUGGCCUAACUAUGCCGAUCAGCAUUACUUAAAGGGUUGUAAGUGGUCUCCAGAUGGGACAUGCUUAUUGACUGUUGUAAGAGGUGGUGGAAUGAAUGUUUUCGAAUUACCCAGUGAUCUUUAUUCUUGUGAUUCUGUAAUGCAAAGUAGACAAAUAGGAGCGUUAACACCUGCAGUUUCUGUACCUGAAACUGGACUUAUAUACGACUAUAGCUGGUAUCCUGGGAUGAAUAGUGGCAAUGCAGCUACCUGUUGUUGGCUUUCAAGUGGACAUGAAGGACCUAUUCAUCUUUGGGAUGCUUUUACCGGAGAUCUAAGGUGUUCUUACAGAGGAUAUAAUGCUGUAGAUGAAUUGGAAUCAGCAAUGAGUGUUACCUUUUCAGCUGACGGUCAAAAUAUAUUUUGUGGUUAUAAAAAGAAUGUAAAGAUUUUUGCCACAGGUCGCCCUGGAAGAGAAUAUGUGGAAUACCCUACUACACAUCAAGCUUCAUGUAUUGUUGCCAGCCAAGCACAGCCCGGUGUAGUAGCUAUAGGUACUGUUAAAAAUACAAUAGAACUUGUUUCACAAAGCGACGGUACUUUCCGUCAUCUGUGUAAGCUUCAAGGACAAAAGGGCGGAAUAACAACAAUGGUAUUUUCAUUGGACGGUUCCAGAUUAUACAGUGGUUCAAGAAAAGACAAAGAAUUAAUCUGUUGGGAUCUUCGUGUACCCGGCAGACCUAUGUUUGUACUUCCUCGAGAAUGUAGUUCGAAUCAGAGGAUUAGUAUUGAUCUUUCCAUGGACAAUAAGUGGUUAGUUUCUGGAGGAACAGAUGGCAAGGUACAGGUUUGGAAUGUUAGUGAGCAAAGUUAUCCUUCAGUUCAUAUGCAGGCCUUUAUACAGUUGGUCAUCACAGGUAUCGUGACCCUGGACUUAAUUCGAGGACUAUUAAUUUUCUUAUUUCGACAUAAAAUCACUUAAAAGUCAUCUAAUUUACCUAAAUAGGAUUCGAUGACUAUUAUUCGACUAUCGAUGAGUUUGCAUAACGAUAGCUGUAACGGCGUCAGCUUGCACCCGUACAGGCCUGUAUUGGCCACGGCCAGCGGUCAGCACCACGCCAUAGAUCCGUUGCAUCACAGCCGGACCAUGCCGGUGUACGAGAACGCCCUCUGUAUGUGGUGGGUGGGGGUACAGCAAGAAGAUCCGGAUUUGUUCACGACGAUAAUCAAGGCCGCCACGCAUUCUUCGGCUUAGAGGCGCGAAGCCCACCAGUUCCUUAGCUGCCCGUAUUUUCAAUUUUUAUAACUUAAUGUUUUAGUUUUAACAUUUCCUAAUUGUAGGAAUGGAUAUCAUCAAUAAAUAUUUUCGAUUUUUUA